rnacentral:rRNA from 1 species
GGGGCAGCACUAAAGAGUUUACUCUUUAGGUGGCGACCGGCGGACGGGUGCGUAACGCGUAUGCACCUGCCUGACACAGGGGGAUAAUCCGAAGAAAUUUGGUCUAAUACCCCAUAAUUAGGCAUCUAGAAAGCUUUGGUGGUGUCAGAUGGGCAUGCGUUGUAUUAGCUAGUUGGUGAGGUAACGGCUCACCAAGGCGACGAUACAUAGGGGGGCUGAGAGGUUAACCCCCACACUGGUACUGAGACACGGACCAGACUCCUACGGGAGGCAGCAGUGAGGAAUAUUGGUCAAUGGGCGGAAGCCUGAACCAGCCAUGCCGCGUGCAGGAAGACGGCUUAUGAGUUGUAAACUGCUUUUGUACUAGGGUAAUUGCGGUACGUGUACCGUAUUGAAAGUAUAGUACGAAUAAGGAUCGGCUAACUCCGUGCCAGCAGCCGCGGUAAUACGGAGGAUCCAAGCGUUAUCCGGAUUUAUUGGGUUUAAAGGGUGCGUAGGCGGCAGAUUAAGUUAGAGGUGAAAUUCCGAGGCUCAACCUUGGCACUGCCUCUGAUACUGGUUUGCUAGCGAGUAGAUGCUGUAGGCGGAAUGUGUGGUGUAGCGGUGAAAUGCAUAGAGAUCACACAGAACACCGAUUGCGAAGGCAGCUUACAAAUCUAUAUCGGACGCUG